UGGUAUAUAGCUAUUAUCGUUGAGGGCGUGGCGUGGCAGGGCCCUCGUACGGUGCUCCUGCAGAAGAACUCCCAGGGCUUCGGCUUCACGCUGCGCCACUUCAUUGUGUACCCGCCAGAGUCCUCCCUCCACAAUAACCUCAAGGAUGAGGAGAAUGGAAACGGCAACGGAAAAGGUUGUCAAAGGGGUCGUCUGGAGCCCAUGGACACCAUCUUUGUAAAGAGUGUGAGGGAGAAAAGCCCCGCCCACCAAGCUGGCCUGUGUACAGGGGACAGACUGGUAAAGGUGAAUGGGGAAAGUGUAUUAGGGAAGACCUACUCUCAGGUGAUCGCGUUGAUCCAGAACAGCGAGAAUGUUCUGGAGCUCUGCAUCAUGCCAAAAGAUGAGGAUGUGUUGCAGUUGGCGUACUCUCAGGAUGCCUACCUGAGAGGAAAUGAGCCAUACACGGGAGGGGCGCAGCAUAUCCCCGACCCUCCCCCACUCUGCUACCCCCGUGCCAAGCCCACUUCCACGGCCCCUCUGCCACCCAACCACCAAAGCCCCCUGGACAACUGGCACUGCCGCCCCAGCCCUGUUAACCAGGCAUCCUCCUUGGACAACCGCUCUGCCGCGGGAGAUUGGCUGCCAUCUUUGGGGCAGAACCGCGGGCGCUCGUCGUCGGCUGUCAGCGCACUGGAUUUCCACUUUGCCAACCACAACGCCGCCAUCGCCUCUGCAACCCUGCCCCACAUGCCCGCCCGGAAGGGAAGUUUACCGGCUACGCGUGCCCACAGCGACGCCAUGUGCCACCAGGCGCUGUCGGACUGGUACUACAGCCAGGCAGAGGCGGCCGAGCGCAUGUCCCCUCGACACCGGAGCAUUUCCCAGGAUCGGUUAGCCGAGCUGGGGUUGGGCUUAGCGCUGGGGCCUGGUGGCGCUGGAGGUGCGGGGUCUAACUCUAUGUCCUCCAUGGCUCACAGAGACCACGGCGUUUCCCAAGAAACUCUGGCAAGGAAUUGGCAUUUAGCCAGUACUUCUCCGGCUGAACUCUGCCUAUAUUAUGUCUACCUUUUCCCCACAGCCACAGCCCCCUCCGUUGGUCGGCAGACCCAGCAGCAGCAGGUGGCUGAGCCCCAGACCCAGAGCAGGAGGUUGGAGGAAGAGGAGCUGGUGGGUUACAAGAGCUACAGCCCCUCCUUCUGCCGCAAGGCCAGCCACCUCCUCCAACAAGCCCACUCCUUCAGAGAACCCACCUACAUCGGACCCCACCUCAACUGGGCACCCAGUGCCAAAACCAUGCUGGGGGAGGAGAGGGGGGAGUCGAGGGAGACGCUGUCUCCUCUCCCUCUGGGCCAGGAGGUGGUGCUGAGGCAGAAGCCCCCUAUGGGGCGUCGGACCCCCGUGCAGGCCCUCCGUCACCCCCUCUACGCCCUCCCAGUGGAUUCGGCCGAGCCCCCCGUCGGAAUGGGGGACAGUCUAAGGAGGCCCAACGGUAGCCUGCAACCCCACCACAGCACACCCGACUCCCUGGCCUCCAUUCCCUUUAUAGAUGACCCUAUCAGCCCUAGCGCUGACCUACGUGCCCGCCACGUGCCCGCCUGCUCCGUGGUGUCCUCCUCCAGUGCCCCGUGCCCUCUUGUGUCCUCUUUGCCCUGUGCCCUCACCUCUAGCAGUAUCAAAAGCCGCCGUUCCUCCUACCUGCUGGCCAUUACCACGGAGCGCUCCAAGUCAUGUGACGAGGGCCUCAACACCUUCCGGGAGGAAGGCCGUGUCUUCUCGAGACUACCAAAAAGGGUCAAGAGCUUUUUCACUGAUGGGUCUCUGGAGAGUCUACGUGCUGCAGAGGAGGCGCGGUCGAAACGUCACUCCACCUCUGAGCUAGGGACCAUCACCUUCAGUGACGUACGCAAGGACGGCUGGCUUCACUACAAACAGAUCCUCACGGAGAAGGGAAAAAAGGUGGGCGGCGGCAUGCGUCCGUGGAAGCACGUCUUCUCCGUGCUGCGCUCCCACUGCCUUUUGCUCUACAAAGACAAGCGGGAGGCGGUCCUCCACGGGGCGGGGGCGGGACCUGGCCACGGGGAGGACGAGCACCCUCCAAUCAGCAUCCGCGGCUGCCUGAUUGACAUUGCCUAUAGCGAAACCAAGCGUAAGCACACUCUGAGGCUGACCACUCAGGACUUCUGUGAGUACCUGUUGCAGGCGGAGGACAGAGAUGACAUGCUGGGCUGGAUCCGGGUCAUCAGAGAGAACAGCAAGACAGACAACGAGGAGCUGGGUUUUUCCAGACAAGCUCUCAUCAGCAAGAAGCUCAAUGACUACAGGAAACAAACCAAGGGUCCAUGGGGUAUCAUCAUGAAGAAAGCAAAGAAGACAGGCCCCAAGGUGUUUGGAGUGCGACUUGAGGACUGUCAACCUGCUGUUAACAACAAGUUUGUCCCUCUGAUUGUGGAGCUGUGCUGUGGGCUGGUGGAGAGCAUGGGUCUGGAGUACACUGGCGUCUACAGGGUGCCGGGCAACAAUGCCAUGGUGUCCAACCUGCAGGAGCAGCUCAACAGGGGCCUGGAGAUCAACAUUACUGAGGAGAGAUGGCAGGACCUGAAUGUGAUCAGCAGUCUCCUCAAGUCCUUCUUUAGGAAACUCCCAGAACCCCUGUUCACUGAUGACAAGUAUAAUGACUUUAUUGAUGCCAACCGGCUAGAGGACUCAGGGAACAGGCUGAAGAGCAUGAAGAAACUGAUCCAUGAUCUUCCAGACCACUAUCACCACACUCUAAAGUUCCUGGUCUGUCAUCUGAAGACAGUGGCGGAUCACGCCGACAAGAACAAGAUGGAGCCCAGGAACCUGGCUCUAGUGUUUGGUCCCACUCUGGUGCGUACCUCAGAGGACAACAUGACCGACAUGGUCACCCACAUGCCCGACCGCUACAAGAUCAUCGAGACGCUCAUCCUGCAUGUAAGAACUGCAGUCUGCACAUGGGGUUCCAAGAAGGACCUGAGUGCCAGGGACUUCCUCCCGUUGUCAAUCAUCUCCGCAGUGACCCGGAAACGCAAGAUACGCCCCAUCUCCCGCCCCCUGAGCAGCAGCACCGACGAAGACUCCGAACAUGAGCCAAUCAAAGCCAGCAACUACGGGGUAGGGGGAGGAGCCAAGGAAGAUGAGGAGGAAGGGGUUGGAAAAGGAUGCGCCCCUAAUGGAACUGAGGAAGUGGAGGAAAAGGGAGAAGAGGAGUGUAGGAAGAGGAUAGAGGCAAAACAGCAGUCUGACAGAGGAAGAGAGAAGGAGGGAGAAGGGAAGAAAGAAGGGAGUGCAUGGGCAAAAGAUAAAGGGGUGGCAUCCCCCAAACCUCAUCCUAACAGCUUCCUCUACACACACUACCAACCCACCACCACCAGCCCUAGCCCCCCAGUAGAGCCCUCAGUCUCCCCACAUUCGAAGCUCCCCGGCCUGGCCCGAGGACGCUCCACUGUCCCCUCCUGGCUCUCUCCCUCCAGACAGCCUGGCUCUAUCCAACCUUAUAACACCCAGAAAACACAACAGCCCCAGUUGGAACAGCAGCCACUGCCAGUGCAAUAUAGGAAGACAAGAGGAGGAAGGGCAAGGCCCCAGUCAAUGAAUUUGGAUAUGGUGAUGGGUAAGGGGGAGGGCGAGGGGGGAGUUGGGAGACGGGGAGAUAGGGUGAAGGUGGUAAGAGCCACAACAGAAGUGCAACGUCACCGCAGCAGUUCAGUUGGUGUUCCUCAGGGGUGUGUUGUCGCAUCCCUCAAAGUUCAAAGGAGUUCACGCCUAGCCUCUGCUCUAGCCCCAUCUCCAGUCUCUUUCUCUCCCCCUCUCCCUUCCUCCUCCUUUUCCCCUUCAUGGACAGAUCAGGGAUCCCUUGGUUCUACUGUUGUCAAGCGGAGGUCGGCCCUGGAGCCUCGAGACAAGCGGAAAGCCUGGCGCCGCCACACGGUUGUGGUCUAA
rnacentral:lncRNA from 1 species